UUGACCUGCGUUCUUUUCAGUCUUAUCAGUCACAGAGAUGUUAGUUCACCUUUUGUGUUUAACCAUAGUGCAAUUGGCAACAACAUCCACUCAUGACUGUGAUGGAGAUACUGUGUUGGAAAAGUUGUUUGCUUUGUUUGUACACAUUGUUUUUGUCAUGUACUAAUAUGCAUGGAAAACCCUAGGCACUAACUGGUGUUUUAUUAUCCUUUUUGUUUCAUUUUCUGCGCACUUUUGACAACUUGAUGUUGGCAUGUUUUUUUUGUUUUUUUUUGUCAGAUUCUGAAAAGUAUUGGUGUUGCACCAGUAAACCUGAUUUGGUGAUUAACAAUAUUUCUUAUGAAAUUGAUCAUCAUUUCAUUUUUUUCUUUUCCCUUACAGACAGUGAAGUGAGACCAUGACAAAUCCGGCUAUUCUCAGAGUUAUCCUUGGACCCGACAACAGUCAGAGGGUUGUGAUUUCUGCUGGCCUGCCUUCAUCUGUGGCUGCAUUAGAGGCUGAGAUACAGACUCAAUGUAAAAUAAUGACGCCCUUUCGACUGCAGUUUAUGGAACCACUUUUUGGAAACGACUUUGUGAACUUGACUUCAAUAGAGGAAAUACAAGACAAAGCGACACUCAAAGUUGUGUACACAUUCGGCCAACCUCAGGAUCAAGAUGAAGAUAGUUUUUCCUUUCCUCAACCAGUGCUCCUGAUGUCGCCUCAUCUAGUUCUGGUGACAGCACUCUGAUUCUUUCAUCUCCAGAGUCUACCUCAUCACGGUCAUCAUGGCCAGAUUUGUUCCUUGUUCCUCGUUUUACAUAUGAUGCAGAAAUUAAGUUGGAGAAGGCCCAUGUAGCUUUCAAAGAAAAUGGGAUGCUGCUGAUUCCUGAUCCAAAGCUGAAGUCUGACAUAUUGGAAGGGUUGAUCCAGGAGGUAGUCAAACAUACAGUAUAUCCCACGGACAGAAAGUUUGACCAAGUUGCAGAGGCACUCAUCCUGAGGCAUCCAUGUUUAAAAGAAAAGGGCUCACCCAGUGGCUAUGCGGGAUGGAAGAUGAGCCUCAAAUACAAAUUGUCAAACUACCGCACACAUCUCAGGAAAGUAGGAUGUCCUGAGGUAUGUGUGAAUGCUUUAAAACAUAAACCAGCUGAGAAAUGUUCUCCUGCUUAUGAUGUUAAAAGACCAAAGAGGGGUGAAGUGGAUUACUGUCCCCCUUUUCCACUUGUAGAAAGUGAACAGUCCCUUGAGACAAUAAGGAUCGAACUUCUUUCGGAUGUAAAGAAGCGCAACAACAGAGAUAAAAUCAAGGAUAAAAUGAACAAAACUUUUUCAUUAAGAAGACAAGAAGUAAUUUAUGAUGCUCCCAUGAUCAGCGAGCUACAAGAGAGAUGGCCAGCUCUUUUUGAUCCAGCAGAGAUAAACGCAGAGUUCAAGCGCAUUACAACCAUGCCUCUACAGUCAAGGUUUCUGUCGCAGCUAGACUUUCUGUCUGAAAGUCUGCUGAGAGUGUUUGCAAAGCGAUCAGGGAAGCAGGGCAAAAUGUUGAAAGACAUGUCAGACAUGAUAAUGAUGACGUGGAUGCUAGAAGGGAGUCCCUCAUUAAAGGACUUUGCCUCUAUUUGAAUGAGAAUCCUGACAUCUUGGUGCAUGAGUACAUGGACAUGACUGACGUCUCCACUCUAAGUGCCAUUGAGAAAACAAUAGUGGGAGUCUAUGUUGCCAGGGAGACACCAGGCAAGGACUUUCCUGAUGUUGGCAUCUUCAUCGAAGGUGUGGUGAUACUUCAGGACCUGGAUAAUGUGGCCCUUGGAACAGCCAUGCUGUUUGGACUUUUUUACUGCUUCAACAUGAGUUACCCGGCACAGCUCCGCUACACUUUUGAAGUGAUUCAAAAGGUGGUCAUGGAAUUAGAUCCGACUGAACUCUCGAGAAAAGCCCAAAACUUAAAGACAAAACUUCAAUGAGGAGAGAUCAUUGUUGUGCGGGUCACAUGUUUAACUUAAGGUAAGAGGACAUUUAUAGUUCACAUACGCCCUCUUGCAUUUUGGACAUUGAAUUUCUAGGUGAAUGAUCAGCAACCCAAAAACGAUCACAUUGUUCAUUGUAGUGUUUAUUCUGUGAGAUGGUUAUAACUGUUUACCUGCCAUGGAAACGUAGUGCCAGUUUUUUCUUUUUGAUUGGCAUUGUUCUUCAAUUUUGUUUUUCCAAGUGAGAAAGGAUGAUUGUACACAAUCUGAAAAGGUUAUAGUUUAAAAAAAAAGUUUUAAUACUUCUAAGGCUGUUUUGAAUCAAGAUGUCACAAUACCAGUGUUGAAAUUUUGGACACUUGCUGUAUUUUUGACUGUAUUUUGUGCUGUGGCUUUUGAAAUAAAGCUUUGACAUGCAA